GUUUGACAAAACAACCUUCCAUUACUCCUGUCACAGGGGGUUUUAUGGCUGAUUUAAAGGACUAUUUUACCCAUGUAAUCUGGUGGUUUUGUUGUUUACAGUCAACACUGUUACUUAAUUUGGCACAUAGGCACUUAGUGUAGUAAUAUUUUUAUUAAAUGUCUUGAGAUGGGAAAACAUGUUUUUUAUGAAGAUGACCAGAAUGUAAAAAUUACGUGAAAUAUUUUUUGGACCAAGUUAAACUUUUUAAAAAUGGGUGGAAUGACCCAUAUAUUUUCAUCAAUAUAUAAUGAAUCAAUAAAUGACCAAAGUGCAUAAAGAUGGCAGAAUUCUGGUAUCACGUCAUUGUUUUAGCACGAUCCACUUAAUUUUUGAAAGGAAGGUGCGCGACAUUGUUCAAUGUUCCAAUAAAUCAACUUUUUCGUUUUUUCUAAUUGCCAGUGUCCUGAAGCUAAAAUUGGGAUCAGGUUUACUUGCUAAUGACCAUACCAAAAAACAGUAAAGGAGAGCAAUGUACAAUACAGUGAACUUAGCAAAACGAGGAAUUUGUGUUCCACUCUGCCCCGGUGUUUUCCUGCAGUCGACCAGACCCUGCAGUAAAGCGGUACCGGGAGGCUUUUGACCUGGGGACUCUGGAAGGGUGGAGGGGAAUGGGCUAGCUUUGUCCUGUUGGCCACAAUAAAUAUUAAACACAGUUUAUCAUUAAACCAAA